rnacentral:rRNA from 1 species
AAAUGACUGCUAAUACCGGAUGAUGACGUAGUACCAAGAUUUAUCGCCCAAGGAUGAGCCCGCGUAAGAUUAGCUAGUUGGUGAGGUAAAGGCUCACCAAGGCUACGAUCUUUAGCUGGUCUGAGAGGAUGAUCAGCCACACUGGGACUGAGACACGGCCCAGACUCCUACGGGAGGCAGCAGUAGGGAAUAUUGGACAAUGGGCGAAAGCCUGAUCCAGCAAUGCCGCGUGAGUGAUGAAGGCCUUAGGGUUGUAAAGCUCUUUUACCCGAGAUGAGUAAUGACAGUAUCGGGACGAAUAAGCUCCGGCUAACUCCGUG